AUUGAACGCUGGCGGCAGGCCUAACACAUGCAAGUCGAGCGGAUGAAGGGAGCUUGCUCCUGGAUUCAGCGGCGGACGGGUGAGUAAUGCCUAGGAAUCUGCCUGGUAGUGGGGGAUAACGUCCGGAAACGGGCGCUAAUACCGCAUACGUCCUGAGGGAGAAAGUGGGGGAUCUUCGGACCUCACGCUAUCAGAUGAGCCUAGGUCGGAUUAGCUAGUUGGUGGGGUAAAGGCCUACCGAGGCGACGAUCCGUAACUGGUCUGAGAGGAUGAUCAGUCACACUGGAACUGAGACACGGUCCAGACUCCUACGGGAGGCAGCAGUGGGGAAUAUUGGACAAUGGGCGAAAGCCUGAUCCAGCCAUGCCGCGUGUGUGAAGAAGGUCUUCGGAUUGUAAAGCACCUUAAGUUGGGAGGAAGGGCAGUAAGUUAAUACCUUGCUGUUUUGACGUUACCAACAGAAUAAGCACCGGCUAACUUCGUG
rnacentral:rRNA from 1 species